CCUACGGGUGGCAGCAGUAGGGAAUAUUGCUCAAUGGGGGAAAGCCUGAAGCAGCAACGCCGCGUGGGGGAAGAAGGUUUUAGGAGUGUAAACUCCUUUUGUUCGAGAAGCUAAUGACGGUAUGUAUGGAAUAAUCACCGUCUAAAACCGUGCCAGCAGCCGCGGUAAUACGGAGGGUGCAAGCGUUACCCGGAAUCACUGGGGGUAAAGGGCGCGUAGGCGGGAUAGUAAGUCAGAUGUGAAAGCCUAGGGCUUAACCCUAGAACUGCAUUUGAAACUGUUACUCUAGAGUAUGCGAGAGGUAGGUGGAAUGCGUGGUGUAGCGGUAAAAUCCAUAGAGAUCAAGAAGAAUACUCAUUGCGAAGGCGACCUGCUAGAACAUAACUGACGCUGAUGCACGAAAGCGUGGGGAUCAAACAGGAUUAGAUACCCUUGUAGUC
rnacentral:rRNA from 1 species